rnacentral:rRNA from 1 species
CAGCAGCAGCCGCGGUAAUACGGAGGGUGCAAGCGUUAAUCGGAAUUACUGGGCGUAAAGCGCACGCAGGCGGUUUGUUAAGCCAGAUGUGAAAUCCCCGAGCUUAACUUGGGAACUGCAUUUGAAACUGGCAAGCUAGAGUCUUGUAGAGGGGGGUAGAAUUCCAGGUGUAGCGGUGAAAUGCGUAGAGAUCUGGAGGAAUACCGGUGGCGAAGGCGGCCCCCUGGACAAAGACAGACGCUCAGGUGCGAAAGCGUGGGGAGCAAACAGGAUUAGAUACCCCUGUAGUCCCUGUCUCUUAUAC